rnacentral:ncRNA from 1 species
ACUACGAGUAAAGAUGCUCGUUUCGUCGCAGCAGGACGGAAAGACCCGGGACCGUUUACUACAGUUUGAUAUUGGUGUUCGGUUCGGCUUGUGUAGGAUAGCUGGGAGACUGUGAAGCGCUAACGCCAGUUAGUGUGGAGUCGUCGUUGAAAUACCAGUCUGGUCGUGCUGGAUGUCUAACCUGGGUCCGUGAUCCGGAUCAGGGACAGUGUCUGAUGGGUAGUUUAACUGGGGCGGUUGCCUCCUAAAGAGUAACGGAGGCGCCCAAAGGUUCCCUCAGCCUGGUUGGCAAUCAGGUGUUGAGUGUAAGUGCACAAGGGAG